rnacentral:lncRNA from 1 species
AUACCUUUCUCGGCCUUUUGGCUAAGAUCAAGUGUAGUAUCUGUUCUUAUCAGUUUAAUAUCUGAUAUGUGAGCCAUCGGCUCACUCGAUAUUAAUCUUAUUUUUUAUGAGGAAAGGCCCAUCACAAUAGCUUGCUAUUGGGGCCUUUAAGCGUUGCCUUGGCGUUGCACUACUGCCUUGGCUUGGCGCACUCCUCCAAACCUUAGUUUAAUUUGCUAUAUGGUGAGACCAGUUGAUGGUAACCUGCAUGACAGAUCAAGGGUAGUAUCUGUUUUUAUCAGUUUAAUAUCUGAUACGUGGGCCAAUGGCUCACUUGAUAUUAAAUCUUAUUUUUUAUGGAGAAAGGUACAUUACAAUAGCUUGCUAUUGUGGCCUUUAAGCGUCGCCUUGCUCUUGCACUACUGUCUUGGCUUGGCGCACCCCUC